rnacentral:misc_RNA from 1 species
GAUGAAGAACGUAGCGAAAUGCGAUAAGUAAUGUGAAUUGCAGAAUUCAGUGAAUCAUCGAAUCUUUGAACGCACAUUGCGCCCCUUGGUAUUCCGAGGGGCAUGCCUGUUCGAGCGUCAUUAUAACCCCUCAAGCUCAGCUUGGUGUUGGGGCCUGCCGCACGGGCGGCCCUUAAAAUCAGUGGCGGUGCCAUCUGGCUCUAAGCGUAGUAAUUCUUCUCGCUAUAGAGUCCCGGUGGAUGCUUGCCAUUAACCCCCAAUUUUCUAUGGUUGACCUCGGAUCAGGUAGGGAUACCCGCUGAACUUAAGCAUAUCAAUAAGCGGAGGA